rnacentral:tRNA from 1 species
GCUCUCAUGGCGUAGUGGUAACGCGCCCCAACUAGAGAUCGGGGAGUCGUGAGUUCGAUUCUCACUGAGAACA